AGACCCGAAACCCGGUGAUCUAGCCAUGGGCAGGUUGAAGGUUGGGUAACACUAACUGGAGGACCGAACCGACUAAUGUUGAAAAAUUAGCGGAUGACCUGUGGCUGGGGGUGAAAGGCCAAUCAAACCGGGAGAUAGCUGGUUCUCCCCGAAAGCUAUUUAGGUAGCGCCUCGUGAAUUCAUCUCCGGGGGUAGAGCACUGUUUCGGCUAGGGGGCCAUCCCGGCUUACCAACCCGAUGCAAACUGCGAAUACCGGAGAAUGUUAUCACGGGAGACACACGGCGGGUGCUAACGUCCGUCGUGAAGAGGGAAACAACCCAGACCGCCAGCUAAGGUCCCAAAGUCAUGGUUAAGUGGGAAACGAUGUGGGAAGGCCCAGACAGCCAGGAUGUUGGCUUAGAAGCAGCCAUCAUUUAAAGAAAGCGUAAUAGCUCACUGGUCGAGUCGGCCUGCGCGGAAGAUGUAACGGGGCUAAACCAUGCACCGAAGCUGCGGCAGCGAACGUAUCACCCAAGACAACUUUACGGAGUUGACGAUUGACGGAGCGAAGCGACGUCAAAGCGUUCAUUAAAGUCGAGUUGGCUUAGGGAUACGUUCGUUGGGUAGGGGAGCGUUCUGUAAGCCUGUGAAGGUGUGUCGUGAGGCAUGCUGGAGGUAUCAGAAGUGCGAAUGCUGACAUAAGUAACGAUAAAGCGGGUGAAAAGCCCGCUCGCCGGAAGACCAAGGGUUCCUGUCCAACGUUAAUCGGGGCAGGGUGAGUCGACCCCUAAGGCGAGGCCGAAAGGCGUAGUCGAUGGGAAACGGGUUAAUAUUCCCGUACUUGGUGUUACUGCGAAGGGGGGACGGAGAAGGCUAUGUUGGCCGGGCGACGGUUGUCCCGGUUUAAGCGUGUAGGUGUGUGUUCCAGGUAAAUCCGGUUCACUUUAACACUGAGGCGUGACGACGAGGCACUACGGUGCUGAAGCAACAAAUGCCCUGCUUCCAGGAAAAGCCUCUAAGCAUCAGGUAACAUCAAAUCGUACCCCAAAC
rnacentral:rRNA from 1 species